UACGUAGGGUGCGAGCGUUUGUCCGGAAUUAUUGGGCGUAAAGGGCUCGUAGGCGGUUUGUCGCGUCGGGAGUGAAAUCCACUGGCUUAACUGGUGGCUUGCUUUCGAUACGGGCAGACUGGAGGUAUGCAGGGGAGAACGGAAUUCCUGGUGUAGCGGUGAAAUGCGCAGAUAUCAGGAGGAACACCGGUGGCGAAGGCGGUUCUCUGGGCAUGUCCUGACGCUGAGGAGCGAAAGCCAGGGGAGCAAACGGG
rnacentral:rRNA from 1 species